AGAACGAACGCUGGCGGCAUGCCUAACACAUGCAAGUCGAACGAGACCUUCGGGUCUAGUGGCGCACGGGUGCGUAACGCGUGGGAAUCUGCCCUUGGGUUCGGGAUAACAGUUGGAAACGACUGCUAAUACCGGAUGAUGUCUUCGGACCAAAGAUUUAUCGCCCAAGGAUGAGCCCGCGUAGGAUUAGCUUGUUGGUGAGGUAAGAGCUCACCAAGGCGACGAUCCUUAGCUGGUCUGAGAGGAUGAUCAGCCACACUGGGACUGAGACACGGCCCAGACUCCUACGGAGGCAGCAGUGGGGAAUAUUGGACAAUGGGCGAAAGCCUGAUCCAGCAAUGCCGCGUGAGUGAUGAAGGCCUUAGGGUUGUAAAGCUCUUUUACCCGGGAUGAUAAUGACAGUACCGGAGAAUAAGCCCCGCUAACUCCGUGCCAGCAGCCGC
rnacentral:rRNA from 1 species